GAAAUGUCUUACGAUGAUCAUUUAGAGGUUUAUUUUGAACAACUGGCAAUUCCAGGAAUGAUGGAAUAAAGCAUACGAAGUAGAAGGACUGGAACCUCCAGAAAAAGUACUUUAAGUUACCUACAGGUGAUCCUAGUCAGGUAUGAAUUGAUAAGAAAUGCCUGCACCUUCCCUCCUUCCUAUCUUUCCCUUGCCUACAGAAAAUUAAAAGGCAAAACAAUAGACAUCUGCAUAUUCUUCAUUCAGAUCAACCAGUGGCUAGCAUUUGCCACCUUUUGCAGUUUCUUUCUCUUUCCAUAAGUACUUUCUUCUCUGAAUCAUUUGAAAGCAAAUGAAAACAGUAGCCUAAAGUGUCAGUUUCAACCAGAAAAUAACAGCUCUGAUUUCUCAUGGCUCAUACUCGUCUGAAACGACUCAGGUAGAGGCUGAGGAAGGCCGUGUUGUUUGUCUACCUGGGACUACACCUACUGAAAGAAGUUCUCAAGUUCUGAUUGAGUUCUAAAAUUUUUUGAAGAUUGGAAUUCUUCAUAUGUAAAAAGAGAAGAGAAAGACAUUCUUGAUUUUGGUGACUAGAGUUGUAGAUGCUGGAAGCUUUGCCACUAACAUUGAUGAACCAGAUGCAUGUCACCAGCCCAUCACGGGCACCAUGGGCCCGGCACUGCCACGUUUUCCAAGGAACCUGCCGGAGCUCCUGCGGAAGCUGCUCCUCAGGCGAUGGAGUCCCUUCGCUGGUAGGCCCUUCUUCAGUCACCACAGGAUGCCUGCCAUUCAUGAACAAGAAGGAGAGGACGGGCUUUGAAUAAAAAACAGGAUCCAGGAAAUAUUUGUGAGGCCAUUUGGACUUCAGUGUGAAAUGGUGUUAAAAGAUGAAGUCAUUUAUUCAAGAAGUAAACCUCUGCCACCUGGACUGUGCGCAGACAUUUCAUUGAUUUUGUUUAAUAAACAUUUUCUGGCUU
rnacentral:lncRNA from 1 species